GGGUGCGAUCAUACCAGCACAAAUGCACCGGAUCCCAUCAGACCACCGCAGUUAAGUGUGCUUGGGCGAGAGUAGUACUAGGAUGGGUGACCUCCUGGGAAGUCCUCGUGUUGCACCCC
rfam:Arabis alpina cultivar Pajares scaff_59415_1_contig_0, whole genome shotgun sequence.